CACAGAGGCAACUGGAUUCCACGACCUUGAGCCAGGGAGCACAUGGAAGACCACCCAAAUCUACCAGAAGUUUGGUUAAAACCAAAAUGCUGGCAGCCAGGAGCAGCCAGGGAUGUUGCCACCCUAACUCAGGAAAGAGAGUUACCAGCUGCUGGCUUUAGAGAACGAACUUUUUUCUCCUGCUGCACCCUUAGAUCCAAAACUUUUCUAGACUCUGUUGGGCUUCCUGAUUACAAGUGAGAAAAAAAAAUCUCUGAUUUCUGAUCGUUUUUCUUCCCUCCCUCCCUCCCUCCCUCCCUCCUCCUCCCUCCCUCCCUCCCUUCCUUCCUUCCUUCCUUCCUUCCUUCCAGGUGUCACGUGUCCCAGGCUAACCUCAAAUUCCCUGUGUAGCAGAGGAUGCCCUUGUUCUUUUGAUCCUCCAACACCUCCCAAGUGCUGGGAGUAUAGUCAUAUGCCUCCAUGUCCUGUUUUUGCAGUGUUGGGGACAGAAGCCAGGGCUUUGUGCAUGACAGGCACAACCAAAAUAAUCCCAGUCCUAUAUUAUUUUUCUUCUUUAACAGGGGAUAACAAGAGCACAGUGGAAGGAGGGUUUCUAUGUGUGGCGCUAGAGAUUUCCCACAAGAGAUUUCCUCUUUAAACACUGAAUGGACGACAAUUGCUUCAGCAGCCAUACUGGGCAGAGAAGGCUUCAGAAUGAAAGAUGAAUUAGUUUGCCAGGACUACGAUGACACAAUGCAACAAACUGGGAAAAUAAACAGAUCUUGGGAGGAGAUUGCCAUGUAAAAACACAGAUUUGGAAGGAAAACACAGACUCAGGAGGAAGAAAGUUUGUUUAUAUGGUGAAUCACAUCAAUUAAUUUACAUGUUUUGAGUUAUCCCUGUAUCUUUGGGAUGAAGCCUACUUGAUCAUGAGAGAAGUGAAGGGAGGAAGAGAGAAGAGGCAGAGAGAGAGAGAGGAGAAAGAAGUUGGAACUUUUAAGGGGAAGACUGCACAUGUGCACUGAGGUUCCACGCGUGUGCAGAGUCCUCACGAAGGCCGUAAUGCGAGAUUUUCUUUAUAAAAUUUUGAAUUCAUAAGAUGUCAUGACACCUCAUUUUGAUGGAAUGAACCUUUAAGCCUUCAUCCAGAAGCUGAUGGAAAUAGAAGCAGACACCCACAGCUAAACACUGAACUGAACUGGAAUCCAGUCACAGAGAGGGAGGAGUGAUGAGCAAAAGGGUCAAGACCAGGCUGGUGAAACCCACAGAAACAGCUGACCUGAACAAGGAGGAGCUCAUGGUCCCCAGACUGAUAGCUGGGAAACCAGCAUGGGACUGAUCCAGAUCCCAUGAACAUGGGUGUCAGUGAGGAGACCUCGGAAAUCUAUGGGGCCUCUUGUAGUAGAUCAGUACUUAUCCUUAGCAUAGGAAUGGACUUUGGGAGCCCAUUCCACAUAGAGGGAUACUCCUUCAACCUAGAUACAUGGGGAAGGGCCUAGGCCCUAUCCCAAAGGAUGUGACAGAUCCUGAAGACACCUUCCAUGGAAGGCCUCACCCUUCCUGGGGAGCAGAUAUGGUAUGGGAUAGAUAGGGUGUUAGUAGGAGG
ensembl:lncRNA